AUUGAACGCUGGCGGCAUGCUUUACACAUGCAAGUCGAACGGUAACAGGCCUUCGGGUGCUGACGAGUGGCGAACGGGUGAGUAAUGCAUCGGAACGUGCCCAGAGGUGGGGGAUAACGCAGCGAAAGCUGUGCUAAUACCGCAUGUGAUCUGAGGAUGAAAGCGGGGGACCAGGCAGCAAUGUUUGGCCUCGCGCCUUUGGAGCGGCCGAUGUCAGAUUAGGUAGUUGGUGGGGUAAAGGCCUACCAAGCCGACGAUCUGUAGCUGGUCUGAGAGGACGACCAGCCUCACUGGGACUGAGACACGGCCCAGACUCCUACGGGAGGCAGCAGUGGGGAAUUUUGGACAAUGGGCGCAAGCCUGAUCCAGCAAUGCCGCGUGCGGGAAGAAGGCCUUCGGGUUGUAAACCGCUUUUGUACGGAACGAAAAGGCUCUGGCUAAUACCUGGGGCUGAUGACGGUACCGUAAGAAUAAGCACCGGCUAACUACGUG
rnacentral:rRNA from 1 species